GACGAACGCUGGCGGCGUGCUUAACACAUGCAAGUCGAACGAUGAACUUGGAGCUUGCUCUGGGGGAUUAGUGGCGAACGGGUGAGUAACACGUGAGUAACCUGCCCUGGACUCUGGAAUAACUUCGAGAAAUCGGAGCUAAUACCGGAUAGGACCUUGCACCGCAUGAUCUGGGGUGGAAAGUUUUUCGGUCUGGGAUGGACUCGCGGCCUAUCAGCUUGUUGGUGGGGUAAUGGCUCACCAAGGCGUCGACGGGUAGCCGGCCUGAGAGGGUGACCGGCCACACUGGGACUGAGACACGGCCCAGACUCCUACGGGAGGCAGCAGUGGGGAAUAUUGCACAAUGGGCGCAAGCCUGAUGCAGCAACGCCGCGUGCGGGAUGACGGCCUUCGGGUUGUAAACCGCUUUUAGUAAGGAAGAAGCCGCAAGGUGACGGUACUUGCAGAAAAAGGACCGGCUAACUACGUGCCAGCCGCCGCGGUAAAAC
rnacentral:rRNA from 1 species